rnacentral:snRNA from 1 species
AUUGCUUGUCAGCCUUUUGGCUAAGAUCAGGUGUAGUAUCUGUUCUUAGCAGUUUAAAAUGGGGGUUUAUUGUUAGUUUGUGUCUUCCAAUUAUAAACUGUAUUUAUAAUUCUCAUUUGAAUUCCCUUAUAGCAUUUUUUUUUGGAAUCCCAACAACUAGAACAAAAAUAUCCUUU